UACGUAGGGGGCAAGCGUUGUCCGGAUUUAUUGGGCGUAAAGAGCGUGUAGGCGGUUAGGUAGGUCCGUUGUGAAAACUCGAGGCUCAACCUCGAGACGCCGAUGGAAACCAUCUAACUAGAGUCCGGAAGAGGAGAGUGGAAUUCCGAGUGUAGAGGUGAAAUUCGUAGAUAUUCGGAAGAACACCAGUGGCGAAGGCGGCUCACUGGACUGGUAUUGACGCUGAGGUGCAAAAGCGUGGGGAGCAAACAGG
rnacentral:rRNA from 1 species